rnacentral:piRNA from 1 species
UGCAAAUGAGUGUCUCCCUAGUGCAGUCGU